UUACCCAAAUCUUGCUCGUACUGAAGUAGAUGAAAGCUGAAUUUAUUCGUUAAAUUCUAAAAUGUUAAAUUUCCGGUCAAUUUGUCACAAGCAAAACUAACAAAAAAUGAAUCUAUGCUAAAACUUGAAGUCAACUUUGAAACAAAAACUUGUUUGACAAAAUGAAUUCAAAGUUGUAUUUUUUUCCUUUUCUAAUAAUUUUGUUCGUUGCCGCGAGAAGAGUUGCGAAUUGACUAACUGUUACAUAAGAUGGUUCUCUAAAUGUCUAAAGACUCCAAUAAGUCCUGGUCCCACUGACGAACUGUUGAACUAUGGGAGAUGUCCUACACGUCUGUCCUCCCGACCAGCUCUCCCCUCAUCUCAUUUAUAAAACAUUUGGUCUAGAACCACGUACCUCCUUCGCCUUUUUCUAGAGCCACCUCCUUUUUCGCCUUUCUCUUUUUUUAUAUAAUUUUUUUUUCUUACUUUUCGCCCCACUGAAAGUGACGUCACAAGUAAUAAGCCCACAACUUGUUUUUCUCCCCCUCUCUCUUUUUUCGAUUUAUUUGCAAGUUUUUUUCUUUGUUUUGUUUCAAGUUUUUUUUUUUUAAUAGCUUGAGUAUUGGGUAUUUCUAACGCUUGCUCUUACCGCAGACCCGAGUGUUUCGCAUGCGUGGAGCUGUCGCCCUGGCAAAGU